AUUGAACGCUAGCGGGAUGCUUUACACAUGCAAGUCGAACGAGUGGCGGACGGGUGAGUAAUAUAUCGGAACGUGCCCAGUAGCGGGGGAUAACUACUCGAAAGAGUGGCUAAUACCGCAUACAAAUGGAGCGGCCCACAUCGGAUUAGCUAGUUGGUGGGGUAAAGACUCACAAAGGCAACGAUCCGGAGCUGGUUUGAGAGGAUGACCAGCCACACUGGGACUGAAACACGGCCCAGACUCGUACGGUAGGCAGCAGUGGGGAAUUUUGGACAAUGGGGGAUACCCUGAUCCAGCCAUCCCGCGUGUAUGAGAAGGCCUGCGGGGUGUAAAGUACUUUUGGCAGAGAAGCGGUAUCUGCAGAAGAAGCACCGGCUAACUACGUGCCGGCAGCCGCGGUGAUUC
rnacentral:rRNA from 1 species